UACAGAGGGUGCGAGCGUUAAUCGGAAUUACUGGGCGUAAAGGGCGCGUAGGUGGUUGGAUAAGAUUGAUGUGAAAGCCCUGGGCUUAACCUAGGAACGGCAUCGAUGACUGUUUAGCUAGAGUAUUGUAGAGGGUAGUGGAAUUUCCGGUGUAGCGGUGAAAUGCGUAGAGAUCGGAAGGAACAUCAGUGGCGAAGGCGGCUACCUGGACAGAUACUGACACUGAGGCGCGAAAGCGUGGGGAGCAAACAGG
rnacentral:rRNA from 1 species